AGGGCGCGCGGCCCGCGGAAGGGUCGGGGAAGUGGAGCGGCAGUCUCCGCAGCUCCCGGGCACGCGCCGCUGCCUCGCUCUGCUGGGGUUGGGCGAGUCCUCCAGCUGCGCUCUAGGCUCUCAAGCAGGCCUGGGUGCAGGGGUGCCGCCGCUCCUGCUCCCGGGCCACCGUGCACGGUUCUCCGUCUACCGUCUAUCCGGGUCGGGAACCGAGUCCUCUGUGUUAGCCGAUUCCCCAGGGUGGUAGAUUUGUUCUGUUGAUCAGACUGAAGUUUCCGUCUUUUGCAAAAAUGGACCUUACGUGGUAUCCUGUGGCUUCCUUUGGGAAAGGCAGAAAACGCGAAAACAUGAACCUUUAAUGCAAAAGCAUCUUUUACAGUAGCCAAGAGACGAAAACCACCUAAAUGUCCAUCAAUGGAUGAAUGGAUAAAGAAGAUGUGGCAUAUAUAUAAAGUCAUGAUCUCAGGGACAAGACAUCAAGCCCCUGAGCUGGGCUCUGCACUCAGUGGGAAG